ensembl:lncRNA
ACCGCCUCCAGGCCCUCCAGGUUGGCUGCCUCGAGGCCCGCCGUCGCCUCCAGGAUGGCUGCCGCCGGCGCCUCCAGGCUCUCCAGGAUGGCCGCCUCUAGGAUCUCCAGGCCCGCCGUUGCCUCCAGGCUUCUCCAGGUUGGCCACCACCUCCAGGCCGACCGCCGCCAUGUGGACGCCACCUCCAGGCCGGUCUCCACAAUCCUCCUCCAGGACCUCCAGGUAGUCCGCCUCCAGGAUGGCCGCUGCCGCCGCCUCCAGGCCCACCGACUCCAGGACCUCCAGGUUGGCCUCCGCCUCCAGGGCCUCCGCCGUCUCCGGGCCUUCCAGGUUGGCCGCCUCCAGGCCCUUUGGAUGAGGAGCCGCCACCUGGCCCUCCAUGCCGCCCCUUCCAGGUUGGACGCCUCCAGGACCUCCAGGCCACCGCCGCCUCCAGGACCUCCGCCUCAGUCCUUCUGAAAGGCGAAUGACACGUUCCAUUUGCACACUGCACAUUUCUCCCCGUACAUGAUGCAGAUAAUCAACCGCUCUUCUGCUUUAGCUCCCACAGAUCUCACUGAUGCCCUACUGUGCAGCCUUGAGUGAGGUAUUAUUAACCCAACAGCCAGCCACACACACCUAGCCUACAUCCUGGAGCUGGUCCUAGUGGCUGAGAAUGCAUCUGACCUUUUUCAGAACACCUCAGAGUGGCUGUGGCUGCAUCAUGUCAAAGCAGGCGCCUCCAGACGACCGCCACGGACCUCACGGCGAGCACCUCCAGACGACCGCCACGGACCUCACGGCGAGCACCUCCAGACGACCGCCACGGACCUCACGGCGAGCACCUCCAGACGACCGCCACGGACCUCACGGCGAGCACCUCCAGACGACCGCCACGGACCUCACGGCGAGCACCUCCAGAC